CACAGAUAUUUGUCACCAGAAUAUCUCCAAAAUGUCUCAGAAGACUUGAGUAUAAUUUGGUGGAGGAGAGCAAGAGUGUGUGUGUGUGUGUGUUCAUUUGGAUUCGUCCCUUCUUUGAUGUCACAGAGAUCUGAACAGUAGAUUUCCAGCUGUCUGUCUGUUUUUUCGUUUCUUCACUGAAUGCGAUCUCACUGCAACCUGUGUGUGUUUUUUAAACAUCUUCAUUGUUUGACAGUUUCAGGUAAAAACCAUCACGUUGCUUUCAGCUACUGAAAAAUGUAAAACUCCUUUUGAAACUUAAAAGUCACAGUGAAAUUAAAAAUAUUUCUUCAAGUAUACUGAUAUCUGUCAGUAAUUCAAAUAUUUUAAAGACUUUGUAUUCCAGCGGUGCACUUUUCUUUUGUAUCAAUGAAAUGAAAUGUGGUUUGAAGAAACCAGCAGUCAGCCACAGUCAUCAAAAAGUCCCACAUCACCCCAACAAAUUUAUUGGCUCGUCUUCAUUACAAGAAACUAGAGCCCAACUUAUAUGGAUGUUUGGGGAGCCAAUACUGAUACUAGGAAGUAAAAAUGUUACAGUAUCGAUAUAUCUGCUGAUAUAGACAUAAAAAUGGCAAGGAUUCCCAAAAUUUUGUUAUCAAACAAUGAAGAAAUGUCAUUGAUGUUUGAUAUUUUACAGUAUGAACAUCACCAGCCAACAUACGUCACGCUACCUUUACUCGAAUAGACAGCCGCUGUGCCACUCAGCAUUGGCAUAAAAUAGACUUUGGCCCCACCUGGUGGCAAAUCAACCACGUGUCUCUUGUUGGUGUAAAACACCCACUCUGAUUGAAAAUGAACGGCAGCUGGUUGCUUUGCCUCUGUCUCUUGUAGCUAAUGUGUCCCAAGGGGUGAUGGGGUCCCAACAAUAUUUAACAGUUGGGUAGCCCCCCCGCGCAUGCUGGAAAAACUGCAUAAUUACAGCCAAAGUGUUUUCUGUUAUGGUUAUUCAGUAAAAUAAAAGGUUUCAUGAUGUUAAAAAUAAUGCCGAUACUGAUGUUUGUGUAAGACUCAUAUCAGCUGGUAUUAUCAAACAAACAAAAUAAUGGUCAGGCUGUAAUGGAAACUCAUAUGGGCAAUAUUACCACCUCACAUUAUCGCGCUAAUUCUCAGCAACUGGUCAGUGGUUUUACUUCUUCUGAGGUGCUUUUGCUGCUGAACCCUGAACUAUCUGUCAUAACAAAUUAUAGAAAAGACAAUCCAUUCUAUGGACAUGAACUUUUCAGUUUUUAGUCUAGAACUGUUUGGUGGGUUUCAGAUUCAGUCAGACAUUAGUUUGUAUCUCUGCUACCAUGUUUUUCCCUUAAGUAUUUUGAAAGAGGGUACACAAUAAAUUUAUGGCCAUGAAUGAGGUCCUUUACUGCCCUCUGCUGGUUGUGACAAUUAUCCACUUUUACUAGUUCUUUUCCCUGUGAGAAAAAGAAUCAGAUUAUAAUUAGCUGAUUGCUUGUUUGCGCGCCUUCAUUUAAAAUAACUGUUCAUUCAGACCCACCCCAGUAUGUGUAAUUGUGACCACUAGGGUGCGCUAGCCUACAGGACAGUGUCUGUCACACUGUGGUUUUCUCUUUUUAACAGUAACUGCAACCAUUCACUUUGUUUUUGAUUGAAAUUAAAUUUGGUGAAUUCCUGCUUUUUCUACAGCCAAAAAAGUCUGCUGUGUCUGUGUGACAGUUAACAGCCAAUUAGCACCUGAGGUAUCAGCCAAUCAGCACCCAAGGUUCAGGUUUAGUCCAUUACCGCCAGGUGCUGGUUUUACAACAUGUUGUUAGAGACGCUGGAUGAUUGAAACUUCAUUUCAUGACUGUAUUUCAGGAUUUGCUGUGAUGAAGCAACAUGUAACUCUUCUGCGCCCCCUACACGUGUGGAGUAGAAUUGAAAAUUUAGGUGUGCAUUAAUCAUUGUGGGGAUUCUUUGUUGUUGUUGUUCGUUUUUUUACCCUACAACAUCUGAUAAAAUCAUAUUUUGAUUAUUUUAUUUGAACGUGCGUCACAAAACAACAGUACUUUUGCGCCAUCGUGUUUCACUGUGACUUUAAGCAGAUUUUGGAGGAACAUUUAAGGUCCUGGUCCAAGCUGUGAAUGAGUCCAUGUUGAACUCAGGAGGGGUUUGGAAAAGUCCAGAUUCUAAAAUACACACCCUCAAAGUAUAUCUUCUGCUUUUUGCCUUUUUUUUAAAUGCUGAUACCAAAAGCUGCUUCAUCACCUUCAAAACAAAACAUGGAUAAAAUUCACAGAAAUUGGGCGGUUUCAUUGCUCAUUAUUAUGACUAAUGUCACUAUUAUCCGUGUGAUAAAUGCAAUACAACAGUCAUGAAAACAGACACUGAGUGAUGUAUGUUAAUUUUUAUUUCAUUUUAUUUUUAUGGUCAUGUAUUUAGUUUUGAAGGCUUUCUCUCACUGGAUCAGUUCUGCCGUCGCCCCGUUUACACCACAGUUGUUUUAACAACAGUUGGGGAACGGAUCUUGUCAGCAUCAUAUCAGUAAUACACAAACUUCAUAUCCCCAGGAAGUUGCCUUUUCAGGAAACCAGCUCGCAUUAUUUAUUCUUGAUUAUUUAUUUAUUUAUUUAUAAUCUGGAUGCCUCACAGAUCUGCUUUCAUUAAUUUCAGUUUGCGAAAAUGAGGAAAAUGGAAACAUUUCUUCCAUAUUAAUUAAAUGUUAUUAUUGAUGUGACCUCAAAGGUUGUUGGUACUUGAAACCUUGUGAUGACAGAGUGACUUCUUGAAGGUCCCAAAGCUACUAAUUAUGUGUUCAUCGUGGAGUCAAUUUGUACGUCACGUGCAAAUAACGCAAUAUCAGACACGUCAAUUAGCCUAACGUUAACUGACAAACACACAAGAAACAUUAUUUACUCACACAAACCUCAUUAUUAAGCUAGUUACAUGCUACCAAGAAAAGUGGCUAGGGGAGCCAAUGCUAGGCCACUUAAUAUUCUAGCUAACUAAGUCGCUACCCAGGUAAUAGCAACGACUUAAGGAGAAUGUAUUUGUCUUAUAAAUGACUGCAAACAGUGGCCAUCUGUUUUUGGAACCUUUCAUACUUUGUAGAGAAGGAUUUAUAGAAUUGUAUUGCACAGCUAGCUAAUAUAUUAGCUUGUCUUUGGAUGCUGUUUGCUUCCGUCGCCUCAAAGGUUCAAUGACGUUUCAUUGACCAACGCUAAUUUAACAAAAAAAUAAAUAAACAAUAAUCUGUGCAAAUUACUAGAUCAAAUCCAGCAAUUCUGGUGAAUUACUUUAAAAUUUGUUGGAAUCAUAAUUAAAAGACGUGGAGGUGACAAAUUGCUAGUUCAGAUUAAUCAUCUUGUUAGUACAAUAUGAUGAUAAAACCAGUAAUUUGAAGAUGAAAAGUUUAGUGUUGGUGUUUUGCUGCAUAACGUUAAGAAUCGAUUUAAUUAAAAACCCAAAAAUAUGCAUCAAUAAACAAACAUGGAGGAUGUUUGAUUUUCCUGAUUUGUUGGAUCUUAACGUUAGUUUCAGAGCAACAUACUUAUUACAAUAAAAAUAAUAUAGAAGUCUGGAAUGAUGUGGUUUUCUCUGAAUCACUAUUCUUAAAAGGUAUACAAUUUAACUUUUAACUGAAUUGAAGUGUUGAGUCACUAAACUGUCACACGUAAAGUUCUCACGUUUUCCGGUGACUUCGGUGGUUUUCUGUUCACGGCGGAUGAACAUCCGCUGAUCGCUACGCAACUGUUGUUGAAAACCUUGGUGUAAAGGAGGUGAAAGUUGUGCCUCAGUGACCCCACCCUGGUGUUUUAGAGAUGACAAUAACCACAAUAAUAUGAAUAUAUACUUUUUAGUACUUUGAGUUGAAAUACUUUUUAGUAUUUUGCAAAUAUGUCUCUGUAUAUAAAAACAAAAGCCUCCUGUAAUAAAGAAGAAAAAUUUAAUA